UACGAGGGGGGCAAGUGUUGUUCGGAAUUACUGGGCGUAAAGGGAGCGUAGGCGGGCUCUUAAGUUGGAUGUUUAAAACCGGGGCCUAACCCCGGCGUGGCAUCCAAAACUGGGAGUCUUGAAUGGGACAGAGGCCAGUGGAAUUAGAGGUGUAGCGGUGGAAUGCGUAGAUAUCUCUAAGAACACCAGUUGCGAAGGCGGCUGGCUGGGUCCACAUUGACGCUGAGGCUCGAAAGCGUGGGGAGCAAACAGG
rnacentral:rRNA from 1 species